AACGAACGCUGGCGGCAUGCCUAACACAUGCAAGUCGAACGAGACCUUCGGGUCUAGUGGCGCACGGGUGCGUAACGCGUGGGAACCUGCCCUUAGGUUCGGAAUAACUCCCCGACAGGGGUGCUAAUACCGGAUAAUUUCUGCGGACCAAAGAUUUAUCGCCUUUGGAUGGGCCCGCGUUGUAUUAGCUAGUUGGUAGGGUAAAAGCCUACCAAGGCGACGCUCCAUAGCUGGUCUGAGAGGAUGAUCAGCCACACUGGGACUGAGACACGGCCCAGACUCCUACGGGAGGCAGCAGGGGGGAAUAUGGGACAAUGGGCGAAAGCCUGAUCCAGCAAUGCCGCGUGAGUGAUGAAGGCCUUAGGGUUGUAAAGCUCUUUUACCCGGGAUGAUAAUGACAGUACCGGGAGAAUAAGCUCCGGCUAACUCCGU
rnacentral:rRNA from 1 species